rnacentral:rRNA from 1 species
UACGUAGGUGGCAAGCGUUGUCCGGAUUUACUGGGCGUAAAGGGCGUGCAGGCGGUUUGUUAAGUGCAGGGUGAAAGCUCCCGGCUCAACUGGGAGAGGUCCUUGCAUACUGGCAAACUCGAGGGAGGCAGAGGAAAGUGGAAUUCCCGGUGUAGUGGUGAUAUGCGUAGAUAUCGGGAGGAACACCGGAGGCGAAGGCGGCCAGCUGGCGCUGACCUGACGCUGAGGCGCGAAGGCUUGGGGAGCGAACGGG